UACGAAGGGUGCUAGCGUUGUUCGGAAUUACUGGGCGUAAAGCGCGCGUAGGCAGCUACGCAAGUCAGGGGUGAAAGCCCACAGCUUAACUGUGGAAUUGCCUUUGAAACUGCAUAGCUAGAGUAUUGGAGGGGAUAGCGGAAUUCCUAAUGUAGAGGUGAAAUUCGUAGAUAUUAGGAGGAACACCGGUGGCGAAGGCGGCUAUCUGGACAAUAACUGACGCUGAAGUGCGAAAGCGUGGGGAUCAAACAGG
rnacentral:rRNA from 1 species